GAUGAACGCUGGCGGCGUGCCUAAUACAUGCAAGUCGAGCGAACAGACGAGGAGCUUGCUCCUCUGACGUUAGCGGCGGACGGGUGAGUAACACGUGGAUAACCUACCUAUAAGACUGGGAUAACUUCGGGAAACCGGAGCUAAUACCGGAUAAUAUAUUGAACCGCAUGGUUCAAUAGUGAAAGACGGUUUUGCUGUCACUUAUAGAUGGAUCCGCGCCGCAUUAGCUAGUUGGUAAGGUAACGGCUUACCAAGGCAACGAUGCGUAGCCGACCUGAGAGGGUGAUCGGCCACCCUGGAACUGAGCCACGGUCCAGACUCCUACGGGAGGCAGCAGGAGGGAAUCUUCCGCAAUGGGCGAAAGCCUGACGGAGCAACGCCGCGUGAGUGAUGAAGGUCUUCGGAUCGUAAAACUCUGUUAUUAGGGAAGAACAAAUGUGUAAGUAACUAUGCACGUCUUGACGGUACCUAAUCAGAAAGCCACGGCUAACUACGUG
rnacentral:rRNA from 1 species